GAUGAACGCUAGCGGGAGGCCUAACACAUGCAAGUCGAGCGGUAUUUCUUCUUCGGGAGAGAGAGAGCGGCGUACGGGUGCGGAACACGUGUGCAACCUGCCUUUAUCUAGAGGAUAGCCUUUCGAAAGGAAGAUUAAUACUCUAUAAUAUAUUAAUUGGCAUCAAUUGAUAUUGAAAACUCCGGUGGAUAGAGAUGGGCACGCGCAAGAUCAGCUAGUUGGUGAGGUAACGGCUCACCAAGGCAAUGAUCUUUAGGGGGCCUGAGAGGGUGAUCCCCCACACUGGUACUGAGACACGGACCAGACUCCUACGGGAGGCAGCAGUGAGGAAUAUUGGUCAAUGGGUGCAAGCCUGAACCAGCCAUCCCGCGUGAAGGAUUAAGGUCCUAUGGAUUGUAAACUUCUUUUGUAUAGGGAUAAACCUACCCUCGUGAGGGUAGCUGAAGGUACUAUACGAAUAAGCACCGGCUAACUCCGUGCCAGCCGCCGCCGUAAUAC
rnacentral:rRNA from 1 species